rnacentral:rRNA from 1 species
UACGGAGGGUGCGAGCGUUAAUCGGAAUUACUGGGCGUAAAGCGCGCGUAGGCGGUUCGCUAAGUCUGUCGUGAAAGCCCUGGGCUUAACCUGGGAACUGCGGUGGAUACUGUCGAGCUAGAGUGUGGUAGAGGGCAGUGGAAUUUCCGGUGUAGCAGUGAAAUGCGUAGAGAUCGGAAGGAACACCAGUGGCGAAGGCGGCUGCCUGGACCAACACUGACGCUGAGGCUCGAAAGCGUGGGGAGCAAACAGG